GAUGAACGCUGGCUACAGGCUUAACACAUGCAAGUCGAGGGGAAACGGCAUUGAGUGCUUGCACUGAAUGGACGUCGACCGGCGCACGGGUGAGUAACGCGUAUCCAACCUUCCCGUUACUGCGGGAUAACCUGCCGAAAGGCAGACUAAUACCGCAUGUUCUUCGAUGACGGCAUCAGAUUCGAAGCAAAGAUCCGUCGGUAACGGAGGGGGAUGCGUCUGAUUAGCUAGUUGGCGGGGCGACGGCCCACCAAGGCGACGAUCAGUAGGGGUUCUGAGAGGAAGGUCCCCCACAUUGGAACUGAGACACGGUCCAAACUCCUACGGGAGGCAGCAGUGAGGAAUAUUGGUCAAUGGGCGGAAGCCUGAACCAGCCAAGUAGCGUGCAGGAUGACGGCCCUACGGGUUGUAAACUGCUUUUAUGCGGGGAUAAAGUGAGGGACGCGUCCCUUUUUGCAGGUACCGCAUGAAUAAGGACCGGCUAAUUCCGUGCCAGCAGCCGCGGUAAUACGGAAGGUCCGGGCGUUAUCCGGAUUUAUUGGGUUUAAAGGGAGCGUAGGCCGGGGAUUAAGUGUGUUGUGAAAUGUAGGCGCCCAACGUCUGACUUGCAGCGCAUACUGGUUCCCUUGAGUACGCGCAACGCCGGCGGAAUUCGUCGUGUAGCGGUGAAAUGCUUAGAUAUGACGAAGAACCCCGAUUGCGAAGGCAGCCGGCGGGAGCGCAACUGACGCUGAAGCUCGAAGGUGCGGGUAUCGAACAGGAUUAGAUACCCUGGUAGUCCGCACGGUAAACGAUGGAUGCCCGCUGUCGGCGCCUUGCGCCGGCGGCCAAGCGAAAGCGUUAAGCAUCCCACCUGGGGAGUACGCCGGCAACGGUGAAACUCAAAGGAAUUGACGGGGGCCCGCACAAGCGGAGGAACAUGUGGUUUAAUUCGAUGAUACGCGAGGAACCCUACCCGGGGCUUGAAUUGCAGACGAAGGCUUCAGAGAUGAAGCUGCCUUUCGGGCGUCUGUGACGGUGCUGCAUGGUGUCGUCAGCUCGUGCGUGAGGUGUCGCUAGUGCAUACGAGCGCACCCCUUCCAGUG
rnacentral:rRNA from 1 species